rnacentral:rRNA from 1 species
UUAUAUUCCUUUUUAUCAAAAGAUAAAAAGGGAAAGAUUUAUUGGUAAGAGAUUAGCCUGUAUUGUAUCAGUUAGUUGGUGGGGUAAUGGCCUACCAAGACGAUGACGCAUAACUGGUUUGAGAGGAUGAUCAGUCACACUGGAACUGAGACACGGUCCAGACUCCUACGGGAGGCAGCAGUGGGGAAUAUUGCACAAUGGACGAAAGUCUGAUGCAGCAACGCCGCGUGGAGGAUGACACAUUUCGGUGCGUAAACUCCUUUUAUAUAAGAAGAUAAUGACGGUAUUAUAUGAAUAAGCACCGGCUAACUCCGUGCCAGCAGCCGCGGUAAUACGGAGGGUGCAAGCGUUACUCGGAAUCACUGGGCGUAAAGAGCGUGUAGGCGGAUUGAUAAGUUUGAAGUGAAAUCCUAUAGCUUAACUAUAGAACUGCUUUGAAAACUGUUAAUCUAGAAUGUGGGAGAGGUAGAUGGAAUUUCUGGUGUAGGGGUAAAAUCCGUAGAGAUCAGAAGGAAUACCGAUUGCGAAGGCGAUCUACUGGAACAAUAUUGACGCUGAGACGCGAAAGCGUGGGGAGCAAACAGGAUUAGAUACCCUGGUAGUCCACGCCCUAAACGAUGUACACUAGUUGUUGUGAGGCUCGACCUUGCAGUAAUGCAGUUAACACAUUAAGUGUACCGCCUGGGGAGUACGGUCGCAAGAUUAAAACUCAAAGGAAUAGACGGGGACCCGCACAAGCGGUGGAGCAUGUGGUUUAAUUCGACGAUACACGAAGAACCUUACCUGGACUUGACAUAGUAAGAAUGAUUUAGAGAUAGAUUAGUGUCUGCUUGCAGAAACUUGCAUACAGGUGCUGCACGGCUGUCGUCAGCUCGUGUCGUGAGAUGUUGGGUUAAGUCCCGCAACGAGCGCAACCCUCGUCCUUAGUUGCUAACAGUUCGGCUGAGAACUCUAAGGAGACUGCCUACGCAAGUAGGAGGAAGGUGAGGAUGACGUCAAGUCAUCAUGGCCCUUACGUCCAGGGCUACACACGUGCUACAAUGGGGUAUACAAAGAGCAGCAAUACGGUGACGUGGAGCAAAUCUCAAAAAUGCCUCCCAGUUCGGAUUGUAGUCUGCAACUCGACUACAUGAAGUUGGAAUCGCUAGUAAUCG